CUCGUUAUUACUUACGACCACGGAUGAUUUAAGAUUCAAUCAGAUGUAAUUUGUAUCUCACAAUCACAACUCCUUGUGAUUAACAAAUUACAAAUAUUUGAAUCUACGGACUCUAUUAUUUAUUUAAUUGUCUAUUAAUUAAAUAAUAGAUCUGCCAUUUAAUUGCAUUAAUUAUAUAUAAAAGUAUUUAUGUCCAAAGUCGAUUGGACCUAGGGCAUAAUACUUACAAACUCCCACUUGCACUAGAUCCAAUCACUUAUGUAUCAAAUAUCAUAAGUCUACAUGACGAUCAUGUUUAUACUACGACAACUCUUUGUCAGUGGAUCUGCAAUUUUAUUAAAUGUGGAAAUUUGCUCUUCUCUUUACGUCAUUUCCAUGUAUUAUCUCUCUGAUGAGAUUAUACCGUUUUAAUACAUGUUUGGAUCAUUGAUGAGACCUUAGUUCCUUUGCUUUCGCAAUGGCUCUAUUGUUAUCACAAUACUAUUGUAUGUGAUCAACAAUAUCAGGAACUACUCCAAGUUCAUUUAUGAACAUCAUGAUCCAUAUUGCAACUCUUUGCUACUUCUGAAGUAUCCAUGUAUUAGGUUUCUACUAUUGAAUCAACGGUUGCUUCACGUUUGGAACCUUUCCAACAUACCGCUUAAGAGUAAACCAGUUUCUCCAUAUGAAAUCUUCUCAAGAUUUCAUCUAUGUAAAUUGGGAUAAGUUAAGCAAUCUUCUAGAUCUACCUCUAUAGAUCAAGUUGCUUAUCCCAUAUCAUUUAUGAAUAAAUCUUUUAACAACCAUUAUUUCAACGAUUGAAAUAUAGGGAUGUCGUUUUAGGAAUACGAAAAAUGCUCCCACUAUCUUCUUGUAAACACACAAUUCAUUUUCAAAUUUGAUAAAAUCAAACACUUUGACUUUUCAUCAAAUCUAAGAUUUUAGCUCCAAGAGACUUCUCUUAACCUAUAGUCACGGUAUGCAACUGUUGCAAACAAAACCCGAAUGGACUUAAGCAAGGCUAUAGGAGAACUAUUUCACCAAGGUCAACAUUUAACCUUUGCUUCUAGCAUUGCUUUGUAUAUAUGGAUAUUCAUAUCCAUAUCGACCUUUUCUUUUGUAAACUAUUCACAAAAGCUUAUGGGCUUUAUUCCAUUAGGAGGCAUGACCAAGGUCCAAACCUUGUUCACUCGCGUCGAGUUUCAUCUCGAGUUUCAUGGCCUCUUGUUGUCUCUUUUAAGUCAACACUUGACUUUAUUUUGUUGCAACUAGCAGGUUCAUUAUCCUGGAUCACUGAUUAAUGAUUCGCACCUUCUUGAAGGUCGAAUGAGCCUACUAGAUUCACAUAGAGCUGUCAUGUCCUCAGGAGUCUUUACUUCCUGAUCCAAAGUAUGUCCCAUAUCAGAUAUGGGAUCAAACUCAGAUUUAUCUACUUGGUUAACUAUAUCUGUGGACUUUUGAACUCUUUCAAAAUUCUAUUUUACUCCCACUGUCCUCUCCUAGAGUAAAUAUUUUCUCUAAGAAGGCGAUAUGUCGUGAGACGAAGACUUUCUUCAUGAUAAUAGAAUUUAUAUUCAAUUGUCUCCUUUGAAUAUCUCACAAAUAUAUAUUUAUCGGAUUUAGUCUCAAACUUAUCCGAUUUAAGGCGCUUCAAAUAAGCGUCAUGGCCCCAAUCUUUCAUAUAAGAUAAAUUAGGACUAUUGUCUUUCCAUAACUCGUAUGGAGUUCUGUUAACCAAUUUAGAAAGGACAUGGUUUAGUGUGUUGCACACUGCAAUCAAUGCGUGACCUCAAAACAUUUUUGAGAAAUUUACAUGGCUUGUUAUUAAUCGCAUUAUAUGCAAUAAUUAACGAUUUCUCCUUUUAGAUACACCGCCUUGCUGCAGUGC
rnacentral:lncRNA from 1 species